rnacentral:rRNA from 1 species
UAGGGAAUUUUGCGCAAUGGGGGAAACCCUGACGCAGCAACACCGCGUGAAUGUUAAGCCCUUCGGGGUGUAAAGUUCUGUCAGUGGGGACGAAAUAUGACUGUACCCACAAAGGAAGCACCGGCUAACUCCGUGCCAGCAGCCGCGGUAAUACGGAGGGUCCAAGCGUUAUCCGGAUUUAUUGGGUUUAAAGGGUGCGUAGGCGGUUAGAUAAGUUAGAGGUGAAAUAUUAGGGCUUAACCCUGAAACUGCCUCUAAUACUGUUUAACUAGAGAUUAGUUGCGGUAGGCGGAAUGUAUGGUGUAGCGGUGAAAUGCGUAGAUAUUAGGAGGAACACCAGUGGCGAAGGCGGCCUGCUGGGCUUUUACUGACGCUGAGGCUCGAAAGCAUGGGGAGCAAACA